GACGAACGCUGGCGGCGUGCUUAACACAUGCAAGUCGAACGGAAAGGCCCUGCUUUUGUGGGGUGCUCGAGUGGCGAACGGGUGAGUAACACGUGAGUAACCUGCCCUUGACUUUGGGAUAACUUCAGGAAACUGGGGCUAAUACCGGAUAGGAGCUCCUGUUGCAGGGUGGGGGUUGGAAAGUUUCGGCGGUUGGGGAUGGAUUCGCGGCUUAUCAGUUUGUUGGUGGGGUAGUGGCUUACCAAGGCUUUGACGGGUAGCCGGCCUGAGAGGGUGACCGGCCACAUUGGGACUGAGAUACGGCCCAGACUCCUACGGGAGGCAGCAGUGGGGAAUAUUGCACAAUGGGCGGAAGCCUGAUGCAGCAACGCCGCGUGCGGGAUGACGGCCUUCGGGUUGUAAACCGCUUUCGCCUGUGACGAAGCGUGAGUGACGGUAAUGGGUAAAGAAGCACCGGCUAACUACGUG
rnacentral:rRNA from 1 species